GAUGAACGCUAGCGGCAGGCCUAAUACAUGCAAGUCGAGGGGCAGCGCGGUAGCAAUACUGGCGGCGACCGGCGCACGGGUGCGUAACACGUAUGCAACCUACCUUCAACUGGAGGAUAGCCCGGGGAGACUCGGAUUAAUACUCCAUAACACAGGGAUCCCGCAUGGGAAUAUUGUUAAAGCUACGGCGGUUGAAGAUGGGCAUGCGUUCGAUUAGCUAGUUGGUGUAGGUAACGGCUCACCAAGGCUACGAUCGAUAGGGGGUCUGAGAGGAUGAUCCCCCACACUGGUACUGAGAUACGGACCAGACUCCUACGGGAGCAGCAGUAGGGAAUAUUGGUCAAUGGGCGCAAGCCUGAACCAGCCAUGCCGCGUGCAGGAAGAAGGCCCCUCUGGGGUUGUAAACUGCUUUUGAUAGGGAACAAAUGCCACUUGCGAGUGGAGCUGAGUGUACCUAUAGAAUAAGCACGGCUAACUCCGUGCCAGCAGCCGACGG
rnacentral:rRNA from 1 species